ACGGAAGGCAGCAGUGGGGGAUAUUGCACAAUGGGGGAAACCCUGAUGCAGCGACGCCGCGUGAGUGAUGAAGUAUUUCGGUAUGUAAAGCUCUAUCAGCAGGGAAGAAAAUGACGGUACCUGACUAAGAAGCACCGGCUAAAUACGUGCCAGCAGCCGCGGUAAUACGUAUGGUGCAAGCGUUAUCCGGAUUUACUGAGUGUAAAGGGCGCGUAGGCGGGGAUGCAAGUCAGAUGUGAAAUCCAUGGGCUUAACCCAUGAACUGCACUUGAAACUGUAUUUCUUGAGUGUCGGAGAGGUAGACGGAAUUCCUAGUGUAGCGGCGAAAUGCGUAGAUAUUAGGAGGAACACCAGUGGCGAAGGCGGUCUACUGGACGAUAACUGACGCUGAGGCGCGAAAGCGUGGGGAGCAAACAGGAUUAGAUACCCUGGUA
rnacentral:rRNA from 1 species